GCAGCUGGUUUUGGUCUUUUUGUAUCUAGUUGUUAACUAUUUGCCCCAGCUGCGCAAACUCACAGUUAUUUUUAGUAACUGAUAAUUUCUUUGUAUUUUGUUGCGGGAGGAGAGGUUUGUCCAGGUGCAAGCAGUGCAGUAGAGGGCCCCAGGCCUCAGCCUGUCUCAAAAAGGCCUGGUUCAGGUUCUUCUCCAGGACCGUCGCGGCUUCCGUAGUGCCCUGGGUUUUACCUCACUCCUCUCGAGUGGGCUUCUGCACGUCCUGGGAGAGUGUGUCCACCCUGCUGGUUUUGCAUCCUCAAGAGACGCUUCGUGACCUCCUGCUUUUCCUCGGUCAGCUUGUGGAUAAAGCAGCCCACACCCUCCAGAGCCACAUCAUGGCGGUGGAAAUAGAAGCAAAGAGAGGUAGAUUUUAUAAGAAAAGCCAGUGGGCUCCCAGACAGAGUUAAAAAGGUGUCUCCCUGAACGACGAGACCUGCGUCCUGGGCAGUCCCUCACCUCCCUGCCUCUGCGCUCAGAGGCCGUGGCCUCUGCCUGCUCAUGGUCCCAGCCUUCCUCCAUCACCGAAGGCCCUGGGCUUUGCCUGUUUGAUUUCUCUUUUCUGAGAAGCAUCUGCACCUGCCCCACCAGAGGAGACCUCCCUUUCUCAGCUCCAAUCCCAGCUGCUUUUAAUUUCUUAAUUAUUGGCCACGAGCAGUCUGUUCCUUAGUGACUGAGAAGUAAGGGAUGCCAGGAUCUCUCUGCCUUUCCUCCAGAACUCAUCUCAAGUCACCUGCAAAGGAGUGGCCUUCCCUGAUCAGCGCUCAGUCUGUUUGGGCUGCUCCUGGUCUGGCCGUUAUGGUCCUGCUGACCUUGUGUUUUUUGGCUCCAAAUGACAAAGCAUCCGGUACACAGGAGAUGUUCAAUACAUGCUUUUUGACCAAGUGAAUGCCACAAGUAAACUAGGCCUGGUGUUCAGUCAGGUCCUUCCUAGCGCAAAUGUGAGAAUGGAGGCUCCAAGGAGUCAAGCAACAUAUCCAACCAAGAUCGUCUCCAAGAAGAGGUUUGAAGGUCUGUGACGGUGACGCAGGUCUUCACUCAAUUGUCAGCUUCAGAAUCCUUACCUGGCUGUUUACCCGAAAAGAGCAUCUUCUACUCACCUUCUGUCUCAUCACUCAGUUUUUCAAAGAGGCGUGUGCAGAGAAGGCAUUAUGAACGUAACAAUCAAGACACAGGAAGUGGGUUGUAACCCUGAAUCUGCCUCCCAGAGUCUCCACUGCAUCAGCCCAGGCUGCUGUGAGGGAUGAGAUGGUGACAAGCUAUGUAGUUACUCCAAGUCUCAGUAGCCUCCUGAUUAUAAUAAGGAAGACUUGGAAGCCUUGAAACUAGACUGUCAUCAAGGUCCCUCUACCUCUGCUAGACUGUGAUAAGCUAUAAGCUGUCUUAGUCCCUGUUGUUGAAGGCAUCUCAGAUCUGAUCCAGAAGGCAUAUGGAAGCUUCAUCUUGAAGCUGUACCAGAUUUGGACCAAAGCCUAACAACGUCCUGAUGUUGUACAGGUUGGAAUGACAGGUGGCCAUUCCACUGGGAAUGUCCUAGUUUGACAUUUGUGGGCACAGUCUGACCAUGGGUGACCUUGAGCCGCUUCUCCACGCAAUGAGCCUUGGUUCUCCCAUCAUAAACAGUAAGACAAACGUGGACUUUACACUUUAAACACUGCAACCAUUGUCCCAGGAGAGUUCAUACAGCCCUCCUAACAAGUCUGUGAGGGAGAGAUCCUCGUCUCACCACCACUGCCACAUCAUUGUUAUUCCUUAUGCUAUACCAAGGCUCAGAGAGAUGGCGCCAGCUGAUUCAGAUCCCACUGUUAAGUCAGUGGAGGAGGCAGAAUUCACAGCCGGGUCUUCUGACUAAAUCCAACACUUAGUGGAGAAGAACAUCUGUAUCUGCUUUAAAAUUUCAUGGAGGCAGAUGAAAUACCAUAUGUUUAAUACUUGGGAGAGAAAAUAUGAAGCAAAUAAA